UCCUAUACUAGGUAUCUACCCUUUUAGCUGUAUUUUAUUAAUGCUCUUAAAAAAUACAAUAAUUACAUAGUUUUUCUUUAAAGGUGACAUAAAAAUGCAUAUUUAUUCUUAUAUUUUAACUUAAGUCUUUAAGUCUAAAAUAUAGAUAAUAGGAAGUUUCUAGAAUACAAACGAGUUCAGUGUUACCUAUACCAAUUAAUUGGUUACCUAUAGUUGAGACAGUAAAUCCCGAUUAUAAACUGUAAGUGAUUGCGACUAUAGUUUCGAGUGAUUUUAUACAUUUGGCAAUUGAAUGGAAUGUAUUGGCCAAUAUAUAAAAUUUAGUUGGCAGAUAAUGGCAAAGGAUUUAGUAUUAACUCAAAAGAUUCAAAUCUCAAUUAUAGGUCAUUUUAAUAGAACAUGGCACCAUAAAUUUCUUUAACUGGAGACUUGUCUGCAGAUACUAGUAUACUACUGAAGUUGAUGAGCCAAAAAAUAAGAAACAGUCAAGCCAAGCUCAAGAAACUAUUAGUUUUAUUAUGGAUCAUACCUAUUGAUUCAGAACCUGAAGAAAAAGAAAAUAGAAAGAAGGAAGAAAUGCAUUGGAAAAAUAUCAUAACACCAUUUAAAAGAAAUCAUUGACCUCAAACAAAAUAAGUAUAUACAAUUAAGCAAUUACGUCAAAAUAACCCGUAUGAUAUAUCCAAAAAUAUUUUUAAAUUAAAUAAUAUUCCUUCAACUUUAUAGAGCAAAGACAGAUUAAUUAAAAAAGACAGUGAAAC